rnacentral:rRNA from 1 species
GACGAACGCUGGCGGCGUGCCUAAUACAUGCAAGUUGAGCGAUGAAGAUUGGUGCUUGCACCAAUUUGAAGAGCAGCGAACGGGUGAGUAACGCGUGGGGAAUCUGCCUUUGAGCGGGGGACAACAUUUGGAAACGAAUGCUAAUACCGCAUAAUAACUUUAAACAUAAGUUUUAAGUUUGAAAGAUGCAGUUGCAUCACUCAAAGAUGAUCCCGCGUUGUAUUAGCUAGUUGGUGAGGUAAAGGCUCACCAAGGCGAUGAUACAUAGCCGACCUGAGAGGGUGAUCGGCCACAUUGGGACUGAGACACGGCCCAAACUCCUACGGGAGGCAGCAGUAGGGAAUCUUCGGCAAUGGACGAAAGUCUGACCGAGCAACGCCGCGUGAGUGAAGAAGGUUUUCGGAUCGUAAAACUCUGUUGGUAGAGAAGAACGUUGGUGAGAGUGGAAAGCUCAUCAAGUGACGGUAACUACCCAGAAAGGGACGGCUAACUACGUG